GACAAAACCUAUCUAACAAGGUAAUACAGCAAGACAGAGGUGGGGGACAUUAUUUGCAGGCAGCAUAUUUUGAAGGCUGAAAGAUACAUCCAGCAGCUGUAAGCACUGUUGGCAGCAAAGGGAAUGGCCACUGUCAAACAAGAAACAACCACCAGAUAAAAGGCCAGCCUGAAGAGAAUGGUCUGAAUUUUAAAACAGGGAUCCUGCUUCCUGGACGUGCAGAUUUAUGUCUACUGAUUGACUAGCUAGUUAACAUCUCUGGAGAACUGGCAAUACAUUGAUUACCUGCAGUCUACAAAAGACUUUUGAAGUGAAAACAAAGGCAGAGAAGAAAAGAAAGCAGUCUUCCCCCAUAAGAUUCCUUCACCCUUCACACAGCAUUGCCUGAAUUUUUCUUUUUCGAUUGAUAUUUAAAGAGCGAAGAAAUGACUGCAAUGAAGAGUCACACACACAAAAUAUUUCUAGGCUGAGAAACAUACUGUGAAGCACACCAUAGCCUGCUGUAUCUUGGAUAAACCAAGUGUGGGGCAGAGGUAUCAACAGCAGUAUACAAACACUUGUCAUUCUGCCACACAUUGGGAUAGGGUCCCUAAGCAUCUCUAGAUAAAAAAAAGCUGUCAUUGUUGAGGAAACUGAAUUUAUAGUUCUUUUCUAGAGGCCAGAAAGUGCUCACAAGAGGUACUUCAAUCAAAAAUUAGACAGUCUUGUGAGGACAUACAAAGCGGAGCUGAUGAAAGCAGAAACCAUUACAGGUAGCUUGACAAUGCUUUUCAAAAUGAAUUAUUGUAUACUUCCUUGGCAGUCAAUGUACAGCAUAUCAAAACUGUGAUACAAUUGUUCCCAAGACUUACAUCUUCUUAUGCCCAAUGGAA